rnacentral:rRNA from 1 species
AUUGAACGCUGGCGGCAUGCUUUACACAUGCAAGUCGAACGGUAACAGGCCUUCGGGUGCUGACGAGUGGCGCACGGGUGAGUAAUGCAUCGGAACGUACCCAGAGGUGGGGGAUAACGCAGCGAAAGCUGUGCUAAUACCGCAUGUGAUCUGAGGAUGAAAGCGGGGGACCGAGCAGCAAUGUUUGGCCUCGCGCCUUUGGAGCGGCCGAUGUCGGAUUAGCUAGUUGGUGGGGUAAAGGCCUACCAAGGCGACGAUCCGUAGCUGGUCUGAGAGGACGACCAGCCACACUGGGACUGAGACACGGCCCAGACUCCUACGGGAGGCAGCAGUGGGGAAUUUUGGACAAUGGGCGCAAGCCUGAUCCAGCAAUGCCGCGUGCGGGAAGAAGGCCUUCGGGUUGUAAACCGCUUUUGGCAGGAACGAAACGGUGUCCGCUAAUACCGGGCGCUAAUGACGGUACCUGCAGAAUAAGUACCGGCUAACUACGUG